rnacentral:rRNA from 1 species
AUUGAACGCUGGCGGCAUGCCUUACACAUGCAAGUCGAACGGCAGCACGGGUGCUUGCACCUGGUGGCGAGUGGCGAACGGGUGAGUAAUACAUCGGAACAUGUCCUGUAGUGGGGGAUAGCCCGGCGAAAGCCGGAUUAAUACCGCAUACGAUCCACGGAUGAAAGCGGGGGACCUUCGGGCCUCGCGCUAUAGGGUUGGCCGAUGGCUGAUUAGCUAGUUGGUGGGGUAAAGGCCUACCAAGGCGACGAUCAGUAGCUGGUCUGAGAGGAGGACCAUCCACACGGGGACUGGGACACGGCCCAGACUCCUACGGGAGGAAGCAGUGGGGAAUUUUGGACAUGGGGCGAAAGCCUGAUGCAGCAAUGCCGCGUGUGUGAAGAAGGCCUUCGGGUUGUAAAGCACUUUUGUCCGGAAAGAAAUCCUUGACUCUAAUACAGUCGGGGGAUGACGGUACCGGAAGAAUAAGCACCGGCUAACUACGUG